GGCCAUGAUGGAUUCAACUGAGGUGCCCAGGACCUUCACUCCAUACUCCUGCAGAACACCUCGUUUGAACAACUCCACUCCUGAAAAGAGAAUAUGGUUAGAAUGUUGUGCAAAGAGGAAGUGUAUGGAGAUCUGGACCUCUAGCAACUCACAUACAUGACCUCCUCACCACAGAACCUUACUGCUAGCAGUCCACAUUAAAGGUAUUCUAUUAGAGAGAUAUAAGCAACACACAUCACAAUGAAGAGCAAGGAGUCAAGGACCAGGACAAUCCAAAGGAUAACAUUCAAAUUCCAGCUAUUCAUAAUUAUUCCCCCCAAGAAUCCAGGCUGAAACAAACUCAGAUCAGUGGGCCAACAAUUCACCAAUAGAAAAAAAAAGUCAUAAGUCCACAGUUUUAGAAUAAGUAAAUAAGUGAUCGUCUAAGUUGCAACAAAGGAAAAAAGUUGAACAACAUUCUUGUGUGUUGUCUCACCUUCAUGGCUUUAACAGCCUGUGAUCCAGAGUAAUCAAAUUCCCCUGCCUGCCCAAUUGACAGACCCCCAGAUCCUAGGAUGAGAACUUUGGAGACCUAGGGAAAAAUGUAUGCAACAAUUAAUAUGAUUUUUAAAAUGCUACAAAGCAUAGGAGUUAGAGCUGGGGGAAAAGAACCCUACAAUAUGGAACUAUUUUGAAUUACAAAAAGAAACCAGAAGGUCUAAGGAAAAAAAAAAAGCCACCCUCAGAAAAACUGUGGCUUUAUUUCCAGCUUUACAGGAAAAGUUUUCUUGAACCCAUCACAUGUACAUUUGGCUAAAGAAAUGCAUAUACAUCAUGUUUUGCACAAAAUACAAAUAAAUAUAUUGAUUAUUUUA